rnacentral:rRNA from 1 species
CUGACGGUAGUCGUAUGCUCGUCUCCGAGACUAAGCCAUGACAAGUCCAAGUACACGUCCUUGAACGACGGAAACUGCGAACGGCUCAAUUAAAUCAGUUGCGAUCUACUCGGCGUUCCGCGCCGCCGGAUAACCGUAGUAAUUCUAGGGCUAAUACGUGCGAAGCGCCCGAAGCCGCGAGGCGACGGGCGUUCUCGCCGGAUGUAGGAACCGACCCCGGGGACCGCCGGGGGCAACCCCGGCGCCCCCGAGACGGGGCGAACCACGGUGAAAUGACGGAUCGUCGGCCCCGCGCCGGCGACUCGCCGAAUGAGUUUCUGACCUAUCAACUCGAGACGGCGGGGUAGAGGCCCGCCGCGGUAACGACGGGUAACGGGGAAUCAGGGUUCGAUUCCGGAGAGGGAGCCCGAGAAACGGCUACCACUUCCAAGGAAGGCAGCAGGCGCGCAACUUACCCCUAAUCUCGAUUCGAGGAGGUAGUGACAAGAAAUACC